rnacentral:rRNA from 1 species
UACAGAGGCCUCGAGCGUUAGGCGGAAUCACUGGGCUUAAAGCGUGUGUAGGCGGACUUCUAAGUGCCUUGUGAAAUCCCACGGCUCACCCGUGGAACUGCUGGGCAUACUGGGAGUCUUGAGCCACCUAGGGGCGAGCGGAACAAAUGGUGGAGCGGUGAAAUGCGUAGAUAUCAUUUGGAACGCCAACGGAGAAAACAGCUCGCUGGGGCUGCGCUGACGCUGAGACACGAAAGCCAGGGGAGCGAACGGG